rnacentral:rRNA from 1 species
UCUGGUUGAUCCUGCCAGUAGUCAUAUGCUUGUCUCAAAGAUUAAGCCAUGCAUGUGUAAGUAUAAGUAUUGUACAGCGAAACUGCGAAUGGCUCAUUAAAUCAGUUAUUAUUUACAUGAUAAUCGAAAGUUACAUGGAUAACCGUGACAAAUUACAGCUAAUACAUGCAUUCAGACCUGGUCCAAAAGGGUCGUAAUUAUUAGUAUUAAACCUCUGCCGCAAGGCGUGUGAUGAAUCAUAAUAAUCGAACGAAUCGCAGAAUUCUGCGAUAAAUCAUUCAAGUUUCUGCCCUAUCAGCUUUGGAUGGUAGUGUAUUGGACUACCAUGGCAGUCACGGGUAACGGAGAAUUAGGGUUCGAUUCCGGAGAGGGAGCCUGAGAAACGGCUACCACAUCUACGGAAGGCAGCAGGCGCGAAAAUUGCCCAAUCCCGACACGGGGAGGCAGUGACAAGAAAUAACAACUCUUGGAUUUCUAAGAAGUGUAAUGAGGAUAAUUUACAGCCCUUACCGAAAGCAAUUGGAGGGCAAGUCUGGUGCCAGCAGCCGCGGUAAUUCCAGCUCCAAUAGCAUAUAUUAAAGUUGUUGCAGUUAAAAAGCUCGUAGUUGAAGUUCUGGCUGUUCGAUCCUCGAGCUCUGUAGCCGAGGACUCGACAGUCAUCCGCUUGCAAUUAUAUGUUCUCCUUUCAUCGGGAGGCUAUAUGAGUAAGCAUUUUACCUUGAGAAAAACAGAGUGUUCCAGGCAGGUAUGUCCGGAAUGCGUUAGCAUGGAAUAAUAGAAUAUGACUGAAGUCGAUUUAUUGGUUUGAGGCUUUAGUAAUGAUUAAUAGGAACAGUCGGGGGCAUUGGUACUUGACAGUCAGAGGUGAAAUUCUAGGAUUUGUCAAAGACUAACAAAUGCGAAAGCAUUUGCCAAGGAUGUUUUCAUUAAUCAAGAACGAAAGUUAGGGGAUCAAAGACGAUCAGAUACCGUCCUAGUCUUAACUAUAAACUAUACCGACUCGGAUUCGGAUGAAUCAAAAAGUUCAUUCGGGACCGUAGGAGAAAUCAAAGUUUUUGGGUUCUGGGGGAAGUAUGGUCGCAAGGCUGAAACUUAAAGGAAUUGACGGUUUUGCACCACCAUGGAGUGGAGUCUGCGGCUUAAUUUGACCCAACACUGGGAAACUCAUCAGGGCAAGAAGAUUUUAGGAUUGACGGAUUGAGAG